rnacentral:lncRNA from 1 species
AAACACUAUUUCUCCCAGCCCGAAUGCUGGAGUGGGUGUAUAUGCAACUGAUAUCCCCAGUAACUGCGGGCUCCCUUUGGCUGCUAAGUGAAUGGCAGGGAGGCUUGAGGCUGCGCUGUUCACUUUAGGAAACAGCGAGGUGUCUGAGCUAGGGAAUCCUAAAAAGGAUUACUGUCACAAAUUGAAUUGAAAUUUAAGAAACACACAAACUGAAACAAGACCUUUUAAUUUGUAGCCCCAAACAGGCAAACUGCUCUGUUGAAACAAUUAAGCAGCUGUGAUGAGGAGGGGCAGCAAUACACAGCAGCUGCCCGGAUUUCCAAGGAGGUUACAGAGAGUUCACGGACUUAGAACCACUCUAGCUCACCUGGCUCCACGUGGCGACUCAAGGCUCUGCACCCUUCCGGCCGCUAAGACAAGGCCUCAGACACGGGGUUCUGCCCUGUCUACUGUCAGCAGAGCCAAGCUGAGAAGGAUGGGCACGAGAAAAGGUUGCAGUUGAUAUGAGAAGAGAGGAAGUAAAACUGAUCCGCUCCUUGUUUGGAGACUGAAACAGUCUUUGUAAGACAAUGAAAGGUCACAAGAUUAGUAUUCUGAGAGGGGCCUGAAUUCUGCUAAAAUGUUUUUUUCUGAAGGCUGCUACCUGUGAGGUUUCAUCUGCAUAGUUUCUCAUCCAAAUUACAACUCUCAACUCUAAUGAUGUUGAAAUAUAUGAAGUCCCACUUAAGCUUGCAAGUCCUCCAGCUUCCCUCCAUGGACUUCAUAGUCCUGGGAGAUGUUUUCUAGGCCUCUAUGGCAGAAUUCGCAGUCUCCACAUGUCAGUAGAAGCAGGGAGAAGGUAACUGUCAUGGCCUCCAUAUUCUCCAUAGAUGGGUCUGCUACUAGGAGGACAUGUCAGGCUUAUGAGAAUCAAAUCUCUGUUAUGCCAAGGAAGUUGACAUUGAAGACUGAGUGCUUUUUACUGCAGGCCAAGAAACAGGCUUCUUGGAGCUUUCAAGAACUACUCUUCUUGUUAUAGGAGGUUGCUAACUUUGGAGGAAGCCAGCUGCCAUGUCACAAAAAGAUUCAGGAAGCCAUGUGGAGAGGCCCACAUCAUGAGGAACUGAGGUCUUUGCCAAUUACCAGCAAGGAAAUGAGGCCUCCUGCCAACAGCCACGUGAGUAUCCUACCUUGGAAAUGGACCCUCUAACUUCAAUCAGCCUUCAAAUAACUGCAGCCCCAGUUGAUGGCUUGACUGCAACCUUAGGAGAAACCCUGAGCCAAAAACAUUGAGGAAAAACACCCCCAGAUUCCUAUCAGAAAUUGUGUAAGAUAAUAAAUGUUUGUUGUUUUAAGCUGCUAA